rnacentral:rRNA from 1 species
UACGGAGGGUGCUAGCGUUGUUCGGAUUUACUGGGCGUAAAGGGCGCGUAGGCGGAUUUUUAAGUCGGGGGUGAAAUCCCGGAGCUCAACUCCGGAACUGCCUUCGAUACUGAAAGUCUGGAGCACGGUAGAGGUGAGUGGAAUUCCGAGUGUAGAGGUGAAAUUCGUAGAUAUUCGGAGGAAAACCAGUGGCGAAGGCGGCUCACUGGACCGUUGCUGACGCUGAGGCGCGAAAGCGUGGGGAGGAAACAGG